rnacentral:rRNA from 1 species
CCUGAGAAACGGCUACCACAUCCAAGGAAGGCAGCAGGCGCCCAAAUUACCCACUCCCGGAACGGGGAGGUAGUGACGAAAAAUAACGAUACGGGACUCAUCCGAGGCCCCGUAAUCGGAAUGAGAACACUUUAAAUCCUUUAACGAGGAUCUAUUGGAGGGCAAGUCUGGUGCCAGCAGCCGCGGUAAUUCCAGCUCCAAUAGCGUAUAUUAAAGUUGUUGCGGUUAAAAGCUCGUAGUCGGAGGUGUGUCUCGGACGGUCGGUUCGCCGCUUGUCGGUGCUCAACUGGCCGGUCCRGACGUACUGCCGGWGGGGCCGCGAGGCUCCGUUAUCCUUCCUUGGUCCUCUUCACCGAGUGCCUUGGUGGGCCGGCACGUUUACUUUGAACAAAUUAGAGUGCUCAAAGCAGGCCGUUGGUCGCCUGAAUACUGUGUSCAUGGAAUAAUGGAAUAGGACCUCGGUUCCAUUUUGUUGGUUUUCAGAACUCGAGGUAAUGAUUAAUAGGGACGGACGGGGGCAUUCGUAUUGCGACGUUAGAGGUGAAAUUCUUGGACCGUCGCAAGACGAACCGAUGCGAAAGCAUUUGCCAAGAACGUUUUCGUUGAUCAAGAACGAAAGUUAGAGGUUCGAAGGCGAUCAGAUACCGCCCUAGUUCUAACCAUAAACGAUGCCAGCUAGCCAUCCGCCGAAGUUCCUUCUAUGACUCGGCGGGCAGCUUCCGGGAAACCAAAGCUCUUGGGUUCCGGGGGAAGUAUGGUUGCAAAGCUCAAACUUAAAGGAAUUGACGGAAGGGCACCACCAGGAGUGGAGCCUGCGGGUUAAUUUGACUCAACACGGGAAACCUCACCAGGCCCAGACACCGGUAGGAUUGACAGAAUAAGAGCUCUUUCUUGAUUCGGUGGGUGGUGGUGCAUGGCCGUUCUUAGUUGGUGGGCGAUUUGUCUGGUUAAUUCCGAUAACGAACGAGACUC